UACGAAGGGGGCUAGCGUUGCUCGGAAUCACUGGGCGUAAAGGGCCAGUAGGCGGCCAACUAAGUCCGACGUGAAAUCCCCAGGCUUAACCUGGGAACUGCGUCGGAUACUGGAUGGCUUGAAUUCGGGAGAGGGAUGCAGAAUUCCAGGUGUAGCGGUGAAAUGCGUAGAUAUCUGGAGGAACACCGGUGGCGAAGGCGGCAUCCUGGACCGAUACUGACGCUGAGGAGCGAAAGCCAGGGGAGCAAACGGGG
rnacentral:rRNA from 1 species